CUAGGCCCUGCCAUGCCGGCAGCCCCGCCCCCACCUUUCAUUCAUUGCUGGCUGCUGGGAGCUUUCAGGUUUCUCCACUGUGAGGAAGAUCUUAUGUUUUCAACAAAAGAAGAGGCUUAUGCAGGUCUGGAACUCCCGACCUCAGAUGCUCCACCCGCCUCGGCCUCUCAAAGUGCUGGGAUUACAGGCGUGACCCACUGCGGUCGGACAGGUGAGAAAACUGAGACUCAGAUGAGCUAAAAACACAUUCACGAUCAUAUAGUAAUAAGCGAUGGAACUGGGAUUCAAUCCAGUUCUGUCUGACUCCAAAGGUGGUGCAUCAUCUUAAUGAAGACCAAGUUAUACCCAGCACAUGAAGGUACUCAAAAGAUGUGGAUUCCCUUUUACUAUCCCCUUAUGUGUGAAUUUCAGUGGCUUUCACAACCUCAGAACAACCCCACACCCUCCCAGGUUGCCUUUCAGUGGUUCCAUUCUUCUUGGGGAUGAUUAGGAAUCUGCAUAUUUAGACUACUUCUUCAAUCAUCUCCUUAUAAACAUGUGUGGAUAAAGAAAUGAAAUUUUCUAGGCCGUAGGUUACUAACUGUGAAUUAAUUGUCUAGCUUAUUUGUUGCAAAUUUAUUUGCAAUACAUUUAUUAUAUGAAAAAAAAAUCACACGAUCUACUGAAUUUGUGCAGAAAGAUCCCAAAGUACACUGCAGGAACAUCUUACUGACUACACAGGAAGGCUAGCCCAAACACACAAAGCCAGAGUCCCUCCAAAGGUCAGGUGUGGGGUGGUUCUUUCCUGUAAUCCUAGCAAUUUGGAAGGCCAAAGCGAGUGAAUCACUUAGGGCCAGGAAUUCGAGUCCAGGCUGGCCAACACAGUGAGAGCCAGUCUGCAUAAAAAAUUACUUUUUAUUAGUAUAAUUAAAAAGAGUACCUCUAACAUUGCUUUAGGAUAGAGAGCUCUGGUCUAGAAUUCAAGAUAUGAAGUUACGAGUCCCAGUGUGGUUACUUAACUACUGUUGUGACUGUGGGCAGGUUGUAUAAUCACUGUGAUUCUCAGCCCUUUCUUUGCAAAUAACCAGCAUUGGAAUAGAUGACUUUUUAAAGCCCUGAUCAGCUCCACCAUUCAAUGAUUCUGUAUCAGUGGAUACUUGUCGAAACCAUAAUUUACUUGUCUAGUGAUGCCCUGAGGUGUUCCUGUGGUCACAGGAAAUGUGGAAAUAAUAUAGUCAUAUUGGUCAUAGGAAUUAUGACCAUAUGGUCAAAUAUGGUCAUAGGAAAUAAAUUUGGCUUUGCUUUUAAAAUGGGUGAUUUAACCACAUGGAAUCUAUGACUAUUUUGAGAAACAACAUGAGACAGUCAAUGUAAUGCAGCCUGAUGUGGUCCCAAAGCGUUUCUGCAGGAUAAGAAACUCACUCACAAAAGCAUUCACUUCCCCGUGAAUAUACCAGUGAAUCCUCUAGCCACAAAAACUUACAGUCCAUAUAUGUUGUAAUGUCUAAUACUUGUGUGAAUUACUGCAUUCAUAACGCACUCCUUGAAAGGGUAUGGCCUGCUUCACAAAGUCCUUGGUACUGGAAGCCCAACUUCCAUUCAGUAACUGGAAAGCCCUCUCCCACCUUCUCCCAUUUCCUUUCAUGACUGCUGGAUUAUGAAGGAACUGAAAACCACAAUAAGUGAGGACUGGUUAAAGAAACAAGUGAUGUUUAUCCUGAGAGUGACUGACAACAUUUCAGUGAAAAAAUGAGAGUAGUAUUUGAAUAACUGAAGGUCUACCGCAGAAGAGGGUUUCAGCUGGAUGUGUUCUGCAGACUCCUAGGAUCCACGGCAUGGUAAGCCCCUAGUGAAUGUUUAUUGAGUGAAUAAAUCCUGUACUGCUCCCACAGCAUGGACAAAGACCAUGGGCCGCCAUGGGGUCCUGCGGCUGAACUGGGCCCUGGCAGGAGCAGUCCCCUCACUCUCCUUUGAUCAGAAGGCUGCAUGUGCUCUACAUUUCAGAAGUAACCCUGUGAACUGGGACAUCCAGACUCCAAAUGAUGAGUAACAUUUGCUUCGAAUUUUUUAAAAAGCUUUAUUCAUCCAACAGUUGGGUUAUUAAAAGUUACCUUGGUAAAAUAAAGAA